rnacentral:lncRNA from 1 species
UAGUUUGCAGAGGGACCGGCCGUCCUGGCAGGAAACUGGGGAGGAGGCCGCGGCUUUGUCCAGGGUGGAGGCUGUGCAGUGCAAUAGGACCCUGUGGGGACACUGUCAGGAACUCCUAGCUUUUGCAGGACUGGUUCUUUGGAUGAGAGCAGAGCAGAGCAGAGCUGGGAAGAUCCAGGUGGUCUGGGGAGAGAGCAUUUCCAGGACCCACCCCAGUGUGUGCCACCCUCAGGAGCCCCUGGCAGGACCAAGACUCAGGGUCCUCAUUGUGGGCCUCUGCAGCUUGUGGAAGGCACCAUAUAAAGAAGUCCAGGCUAUACUCCUAGAGGCCACAUGCAAGAGAACUGAGGCAUCCCAGCUGACAGCCAGCACCAACUGCCGGGCAUGUGAGUGAACUUUCCUAGAAUACGACCCUCCAGCUCCCAUCAAUCAAGACUGAAGAUGAUAUAGCCCUGGACAGUGCGGCUUGACUGCAGCCUCAUGAGACACCCAGAGUCAGACCACCCAGCUAAGCUGCUCCUGGAUUUCUGACCCUCAGAAACUAUGAUACAAUAAAUAU